rnacentral:lncRNA from 1 species
AAGAGAAGAACCAGUGAUUCCCUAAUCAUGGAGAUUAAAAGACGCACAGUCCAAGGGUUCCUCUCUGGAGUCUGGGGCCUCGUCCUGCCAGAUCGCCAGGCCAACCUAGAUGGUCAAGAGUGGACAGACACAUCUUCUACUGCUCCUGUCUCCGUGGGUUUUCCCCAGUGAACACUGCUCCAGCAGAUCUAGCAUGUGCUGCUUGACCAUCGGCCUCUGUUUGCAUGAAAACCAUAGACUUGAAUUCGCAGAAGUUAAGGUUAUAAUUGUGGAAGCAGAGUGAAGAAAGGUAUUCUUUGAGGAAUAGGACCCCCUACUGAGUGGCUAUCAAACUGAAGAAUCUGCCUUUUGUACGAUUUCCAGCGACGGUAGAAUGCCAAUAUAUUAGUCCACAGGGGGACGUACAACUUCAGGGGAGACCAGACCCUUGUGCUCCGCCAACACACACUGUCUCUGAAGACGGGCUCCGGGGCGACGACAGCACAGCGGAGUUGGCCCAAGGCCCUCCUUCCCCUGGACUUCAUGACUGAUAACCCCACCUCUGGGGAGUCUGAUGUUCUGGUAUGACACGUAGGGACCACACUGGAAGUUACGCAGCGGAUGAUGUGUAAUUUGAUGUGAUCUAAUGGAGCGAGACAAACGUGGUUUGGGACUCUGCACGUAAGAAUGAGAAGACAGGGGAAAGAGGAGACCCCGGAAUGGCCUGCCCAAGCCCGCAUCACCAGUCCUCAGGAAGACGCUCACCUGUGGGCACAGCUGGUAGGCUCUGGGUCAACGAGCUGGGCCUGCUGGGACCUCAGGGGCCAUUGCUAGAGCUGUAAGAGCCUGAAUGGAAUGUGCUUGUCAGCGGCCCUUGUCAAGAGGGCUGCCAAGCCCUUGCUGGCGACAAUGAAUGGAUGUAUCUCUGAAAAGGUGAUGAAAACAGAUCAGUGACCAGAAUGUGAGUGGAACACUGGAGAGGUAGUCUCAGAGAAUGAUUCUGACUACAAGAUGUUACUUAAAACCACAGAAAUCUUGCCCAGACCCUCUUCAUGCUAAAGUUGAAUUUCCCAGCCUGUAAAGAAGUCUGGUUUCAGGAAAAGGUUCUAAAACGACUUCAUAGAGCAUGGACCCCAGAGACAGCUCAGUAGGGGCAGCAGCAGUCCAACGAAGACUCGCUCACUUGUAGAGCAUCGACUACGCACCAGGCACUGUGUAGGGGCUUUACAGACAUAUUUUUUCCAGACUAUUAGUCCUCCCUUUUGUAAAACAACAAAAAAACAACAAAAACCCUUUUCCUUUAGGCUGUGACCACCUGCAGCAGGCGGGAGAGGGAUGACUAAUAUAAUCAAAUGGAACUCUCUUCCAUGGCCCCAUGCUGACCCUUGUCAUCACUGAAACCGCUCCUUCUUCUGAAUCAGUGACCUCAGUAUGUCCGUCUCCCACCGUCUCCUCCUGCCAGUCCUUCCAAGUUGCUUAUCCACCACUCCUGCAGCCACGUUCUAACCUCGUCAGCACCUGCAGUCCACUGAACCUCCUAUUCACCCCAUCAUAUAUAUGCCUUCCCCUAUCCUCACUUGCUUUUUAUGCAUCGUAGAAUCCCUGGUCCAUCAUCAGGCCCUGCAUUCCUGCAUCUGCUGAGUUUUAGUGGCACAAUGCUGCUGGAGGAAGUCACACACCAGAGAGCUGCGUCUCACUCUGAAUUCACUGAUUCCUCUCAAUAAUUAGAUAUUACCUCUUAAAUAGUUCUCAAAUUACUCGUCUCUUUCCAUUUUCACCAUUACCACUGUUAAAAAUGAUUAAAGACGACAAUUUAGGCGAUACAAACAAACUUUAUUUAACACAAAGCAUUAAAGCUCAUGAAGUGAGUAGUCUCUAUUCCUAAGGGUCCAGAGAACUGCAAAAUGGCUGGAAGCCAGGAAGCUUUUAUGGGAUAAAGAAGAAGGAACAAGGAAGAGAAAAACAGAGAGUGAAUAGGGAACAAGGAAGUUGGUACAGAGCCCAGAGCUGGCUUCGUAUUGUUACCGAAACCGAAGUGGGUUCCUUCCUGGUGAGUUAAAUCAGACUCUCCACCAGAAGGAGUUGUCUCACAGUAAAGUAUAUUUGUGGCAAAUAGGAGACCACGAGGAAUCAUUUCCAGAGUUCCGGCGUCCCCGAAGAAAGGGAAGCAGGGACAUUUAUUUCGGAUGGGGAAUGAAUAUUCAAAAGGGAGAGAUGGGUAUUCGCUUGCGCAGGCUCAGUUAGAAGACAUUCUUCCACACACACUGCGGGUUACAGUGAUAAGGCCUAAGCUCCUCCUGGAGAGAUCUUAGCAUUAAAAAUAAGGCAAAGGUCAUAGGUGUAGCUCUUGUGGUGAGGCUUGGUCUGGUUCAGGGAGGGUGGUGAUGACAUCUCCUUAACAGAACAAAAGGAAAACGAACAAUUUGAAAAAGCAGUUAAAAUAUCCGCCCCACCCUUGAGUUCCUUGGGGUAACUAGCUGGUGACUGUUUGGGGGCUGGCUGAGUGGACACACUGCGUUUCUGGUCAAGAAGAACAUUCAGAGGAAUGUGAAAGUCUUCUAAAUUUCAUUUUGCUGACGUGGCUUUCUGGGCUGGAGUGGCUCCAUUCUAGGCCUAGAAAUGCAUUCCAGGAUCGCUUUAAUCCAACCUGCCGUCAUCUCUGUCUGAGACUCAUAACAGCUUGUGCAGGUUGGCCUGCAGUCACUCAUCAUCUCCCUCCCACCCCGUCGUCCCCC